ensembl:lncRNA
CUCACUGAGGAGGAAUAACAAAUUCCCAAAUGAAAAACUGGCAGGAUUAGACACUUGAAACUUGAGGUUGGGGAGCCUUCUGUGGAGAGUUUCAGUUCUGACUGGGUUCCUUGGCUGGAGUGGGGGGACACCUACAGAAGAAAGAUCACUGGAAAUAUGUAGCGAAUUCUCAUUAAAGGCAACACCCUCCUAUGUUCUCAGUCUGUCUACCCACUGAUGCCCUCUCUCAGUGCCUACUGUCUUACUGGAGUGGCAAACGAUGGCUGCGUGGUGCUUGAGCAGCGACCAUCCAAGAGGAGAUAUCCCAUAUCCAAGGUAAGGAGCAGCGGCCAAGAGGAGAUAUCCCAUGUCCAAGGUCAGGACCGGAGGCUGUGAGGAGAUACCCUACAUCCAAGAGCACAUCAUAAGAAAUGCUGGGCUAGAUGAGUUAUAAGCUGGAAUCAAGAUUUCCGGGAGAUAUAUCAACAACCUCAGAUAUGCAGAGAAUACCACCCUAAUGGCAGAAAGAAAAAGAGGAACUAAAGAACCUCUUAAUGAGGGUGAAGGAGAAGAGUGAAAAAGCCGGCUUAAAACUCAAUAUUAAAAAAAGCUAAGAUCAUGUCAUCAGGCCCCAUCAUUUCAUGGCAAAUAAAAGGGAAAAAGGUGGAAGCAGUGA